rnacentral:rRNA from 1 species
UGUCAGCAGCCGCGGUAAAACGUAGGAGGCAAGCGUUAUCCGGAUUCACUGGGCGUAAAGCGCGUGCAGGCGGUUCGGUAAGUUGGGCGUGAAAUCUCCUGGCUUAACUAGGAGAGGUCGUUCAAAACUACCGGACUUGAGAGUGAUAGAGGAAGAUGGAAUUCCCGGUGUAGUGGUGAAAUGCGUAGAUAUCGGGAGGAACACCAGUGGCGAAAGCGAUCUUCUGGAUCAUUUCUGACGCUCAGACGCGAAAGCUAGGGUAGUAAACGGGAUUAGAGACCCCGGUAAUCCUAGCCGUAAACGAUGUAAACUUGGCGUUGGUGGCUUAAACUCCAUCAGUGCCGCAGCUAACGCGAUAAGUUUACCGCCUGGGGACUACGAUCGCAAGAUUAAAACUCAAAGGAAUUGGCGG